CAUGGAAAUCCACUGAUGCAAUGCCCAGAUAAUCUGACAGGGAGGCGGGGGCGCUGUUGAGGCGGGGAACUGGUGGGUGCAGCGCAGCGAAGAAGAGGAGUGACAGCGAUCGAUGAUCGCGAGCACGGAAGGCUGGAGAGUAACGCUGCCUGAAAGCAGGAGGGAAAAAACAAAACUAGAGGAUGAAAACAAAACGGGCAUGAUCUCUGUGCAGGCUAAACAAGAGAUGUGGACAAAGCUGAGACAUGGACGAGAACAACACGACGAUCUGACAACAGACAGCACACAUGAGGAGACUAAAUAGAAAAGGAGUGAUCAUCACGAUGCAGAGGAGAUUAACCCAGUAUGCCAGUGUCAAUUGCUUCCUUCUUAAGUGAAUUGGCAUCUCCCCCAUCUCCACCUGUAAUGCUGAAACAGGAGAGGAAGGGAACCUCUCUCCACGAUCCGCGGAGAAAUUACAGGACAUGGUUGACAUUGCACAUAGACUUGGCCCCAAGUCUGGAAACUCCAACCCACGGCGUAUCAUCGUCCAGUUUUUAUCCCGCACUUGCCGUGAUGCAAUAUGGGCGGAAGCCAAACGAUCUGAGCUGCUGAAACAGAAAAAAAUUCGGAUCCUGGAAGAUCUCACUCAGGAAGACAAAGAGGCUAGAAACAAACUCUGGCCACUCGUUGGAAAGGCAAGAAAGGAAGG